AUUGAACGCUGGCGGCAUGCCUUACACAUGCAAGUCGAACGGCAGCACGGGAGCAAUCCUGGUGGCGAGUGGCGAACGGGUGAGUAAUAUAUCGGAACGUGCCCAGUCGUGGGGGAUAACGUAGCGAAAGCUACGCUAAUACCGCAUACGAUCUAUGGAUGAAAGCGGGGGAUCGCAAGACCUCGCGCGAUUGGAGCGGCCGAUAUCAGAUUAGGUAGUUGGUGGGGGUAAAAAGCCUACCAAGCCUUCGAUCUGUAGCUGGUCUGAGAGGACGACCAGCCACACUGGAACUGAGACACGGUCCAGACUCCUACGGGAGGCAGCAGUGGGGAAUUUUGG
rnacentral:rRNA from 1 species